CCUACGGGGGGCUGCAGUGGGGAAUAUUGGACAAUGGGGGCAACCCUGAUCCAGCCAUGCCGCGUGUGUGAAGAAGGCCCUCGGGUUGUAAAGCACUUUCAGUGAGGAAGAACGCCUGGUGGUUAAUACCCAUCAGGAAAGACAUCACUCACAGAAGAAGCACCGGCUAACUCCGUGCCAGCAGCCGCGGUAAUACGGAGGGUGCGAGCGUUAAUCGGAAUUACUGGGCGUAAAGCGCGCGUAGGUGGCUUGAUAAGCCGGUUGUGAAAGCCCCGGGCUCAACCUGGGAACGGCAUCCGGAACUGUCAAGCUAGAGUGCAGGAGAGGAAGGUAGAAUUCCCGGUGUAGCGGUGAAAUGCGUAGAGAUUGGGAGGAAUACCAGUGGCGAAGGCGGCCUUCUGGACUGACACUGACACUGAGGUGCGAAAGCGUGGGUAGCAAACAGGAUUAGAUACCCUAGUAGUC
rnacentral:rRNA from 1 species